UANAGUUGAUCAUGGCUCAGAGUGNCACGCUGGCGGUAGGCCUAACACAUGCAAGUCGAACGGCAGCACAGAGGAGCUUGCUCCUUGGGUGGCGAGUGGCGGACGGGUGAGGAAUACAUCGGUAAUCUACUCUGUCGUGGGGGGUAACGUAGGAAACUUACGCUAAUACCGCAUACGACCUACGGGUGAAAGCAGGGGAUCUUCGGACCUUGCGCGAUUGAAUGAGCCGAUGUCGGAUUAGCUAGUUGGCGGGGUAAAGGCCCACCAAGGCGACGAUCCGUAGCUGGUCUGAGAUUAUGAUCAGCCAUCACUUGGAACUGAGACACUGGUCCAGACGUCC
rnacentral:rRNA from 1 species